UUGUUUGCCAGCUCAGCUGUGAUUCUUAUUUCUAGUUUGAAGUAGUUUUUGUUUUAUUAAGUUAUUGAUUUCAGUGCCAUUAGAAGCCCGUUCCUAAGUUACAUUCUGUCAGCACUUUGUGUUCGCUUUUGUUUGCUGCAUCUUGUUGGUAAAUUGCCUGCAGCUUGUUUCUAUCAUUUUAAAUUGUGCAUUUAACAAUAAGCGGCUACUUUACACCUGAUACCAUCGGCUCAUGUUGGUUCCCUUACCCCUAGACCUAAAUGGGACAUAACACCAGCCAAGGUUUCAUAGCAAGGCUUUAGCAGCACUAGGUAACAAGACUACACAAAAAGGAAGUCCAAUAUCACAGGUGUUACUAUUAACUUUAACAAUGGCUCUGUAUCCAAGUAAGCCAUGACAGUGUGACAGUGAUCCAGCAUGAACAAUACCAGGACCCUGAAACUGAUGCAGCUAAAUGGAAUUCAGCCAUCAUUCAUUUUAUUAUUUGCACUUGUGCUUUUCCAGUUGCGACAACAUGUCUUCUGUGAAAUAUACCUGUAAGGUUUUGCAAAUGUUUUGUGCAUAGUAACUAUUUUCCAAAGGCUAGUGAGUAGAUUAUAAGAUGCUUUAGUAUUUUUUUAUUUUGUGAGAUUUUAUAUUUUUGCUUGAUCAUUAUCAUUAUAAGGAACCAUUGUACUUUUAUUUUGUUGCAUUUAUCUGAUGGCUUUAGUUGUGACUUACCUUGAAACAUUGAAAGUUAUCAUAUGUAAGAUAUUUUUAGUUUUUAUACCUGACAUAUUUUUACCAAUAAAGUUUUUUUUUAUAUUACAAUUUAUUUUUUUUAUUCUUGUAUAUUUCCAUGAUAUCACUUCGUUAAAUUGUUGUUGUUUUUUCCACAAAUAACAGAGCAUGGGACAAAUAGUGUUUUGAGUUAUUUUAGUUUCUUGAGCUGUUUUUGAUCACCCCAUUGGACCUGUCCCUUUACCUGUUGUCAUAGCCUCUCAGAAGUUUUACGAUUUCAGAACAAUUGUGAGAGGAAUAAAGAGGUUGGGCAUAUAGUCUGUUCUGUGAGAAUA